GGGAGGAAAUGAGCAACAAGUUACUCAGUGAAGUGACUCUAGACCAGCCGGCCCGCAUGACUCUUUAUACUACUCUAUGCGGGAACUAGGGCUGACUAGCCACUACAAUCAAUAAAUGCAACCUAACAUUUCCUAACAUCAUCAUUACCAAUCAUUCACAGUUCUCUACAUUUCUAACAACCUAACGAUCACCCAAUACAAUGAUCUCACUCAUUGUCACACACAUCAAUCCAUAGACUCUGACCGACUCAACAUACACGACCGUCUUGAACCUAUGACAUCAAUACGCUUUUUAUAUCCCGCCUCUCGCGGUAGGCACGUUUUUAUAUCCCGCCUCUCGUGGCUGGCACAUCUCCUCGCUUCCCAUGGGUAGCUCUCGUUAAGCCACUACCCCACAGGUUCAUGUGGGUGCCUCGUUAGGCACUACCCCACAAGUUCCUAUAGGUGCCUAGCGUAAAGCUACUACCCCCAUGUUUUACAUAUCUUAGACUCUAGACGCCCACCCGUUCUUGGUGGUCCAAACAGGACAUCAAGCAGGUUUAUUGACACAUUCACUUUCUUAUUCUCAAUCUCAUUCUCCAUCAUGUUCACUUUCUCAUCCACGUUAUUCACUUCUCAUUUCUUAUUCAGUCUCACAUUCUCAUACAUUUAGACUCUUACUCAUACACAUUCACUAGACGCCACCCGUUAUCAGUGUCUCACACAAUACACAUCACAUUCUCAAACACAACAGCUGAUGCCAAAGGACAUCCUAUUCACAUACAUCAAGUACUUACACUA
rnacentral:lncRNA from 1 species